AGGGCACCACCAGGAGUGGAGCCUGCGGCUUAAUUUGACUCAACGCGGGGAAACUCACCCGGCCCGGACACCGUAAGGAUUGACAGAUUGAGAGCUCUUUCUUGAUUCGGUGGGUGGUGGUGCAUGGCCGUUCUUAGUUGGUGGAGCGAUUUGUCUGGUUAAUUCCCAUAACGAACGAAACUCUAGCCUACUAAAUAGAAGGCAAAUCAUUCCUUUGCUGUACUUCUUAAAGGGACUAGGGGCGUCUAGCCUCACGAGAUUGAGCAAUAACAGGUCUGUGAUGCCCUUAGAUGUCCGGGGCCGCACGCCCCCUACACUGAAGGAUUCAGCAAGUGUUCAGCCUGGUCUGAGAAGAUCGGGUAACCUAAUGAAACUCCUUCGUGAUUGGGAUAGGGACUUGUAAUUAUUUCCCUUGAACGAGGAAUUCCUAGUAAGUGCGGGUCAUCAUCUCUCGUUGAUUACAUCUCUGCCCCUUGUACACACCGCCCGUCGCUACUAUCCAGUGAUGAGUUAUCCAAA
rnacentral:rRNA from 1 species